rnacentral:rRNA from 2 species
UAGAGUGUUUAAAGCAGGCUCACGCUUGAAUACAUUAGCAUGGAAUAAUGAAAUAGGACAUCCGAUUCUAUUUUGUUGGUUUCUAGGAUCGAUGUAAUGAUUAAUAGGGAUAGUUGGGGGCAUUAGUAUUCAAUUGUCAGAGGUGAAAUUCUUGGAUUUAUUGAAGACUAACUACUGCGAAAGCAUUUGCCAAGGAUGUUUUCAUUAAUCAAGAACGAAAGUUAGGGGAUCGAAGACGAUCAGAUACCGUCGUAGUCUUAACCAUAAACUAUGCCGACUAGGGAUCGGAUGAUGUUAAUUUUUUAAUGACUCAUUCGGCGCCUUACGGGAAAC